UGUGUGUGUGUGUGUGUGUGUGUGUGUGAGCACACGUGGACUUGCAUGCACGCCCUUCUCACCC
rnacentral:miRNA from 1 species